UACGUAGGGAGCAAGCGUUGUUCGGAUUUACUGGGCGUAAAGGGCGCGUAGGCGGCAUAUUAAGUCAGCUGUGAAAUCUCCGAGCUUAACUCGGAACUGUCAGCUGAUACUGAUGUGCUUGAGUGCGGAAGGGGCAAUCGGAAUUCUUGGUGUAGCGGUGAAAUGCGUAGAUAUCGUUUGGAACGCCAAUGGUGAAAACAGGUCGCUGGGGUUGUGCUGACGCUGAGACACGAAAGCCAGGGGAGCGAACGGG
rnacentral:rRNA from 1 species